AUCACCCUUAAAACGAUCAACUGCACUUGCAGAUUCAAAUGUAUAUUUAUUGUGUGACCUAUUGUUAAGUUCGAACAAACACUCUUUUCAUGACUAUUAAUAAAUAGCUUCGCGAGCAAAGGGCUCGCCCUCUUAUUAGCAUCUACUGCUAAACCAGACACACGAAAUCUCAUCCUUUACCAACUUGAAAGAACAACUAAUUUGAACCGUAAGAUCUUUUAAAAUGUAAAACUCAAUAUAUAAAAGUGGCGACGAGAAAAUAAAAUCGUUCUAACGCGUGUGAAGUGGAUUGAAAAAAAGAAAAGUCGGGAAAGAGAAGCGCAGUUACCAAUUGCGGUGUGAAAGUGAUUCAAUUUUGCCACCAUCAGCACCUCUCCGGGUGAUAGGUUUAAGUGACUGCUAAUCCUCAUUGCCUGAGUGUAGCAAGCGAGCAGUAGAUCUCCUGCUGACACGAAAACUGUGGGUGAAUGAUUGGUGCAAACAUUAUCUGUCCUGUGUUCUCUGUGCGGUUAUAUGUGUAGUGGAUGUAGCAAGAACACUGUGCUGAAUAUUCGGCUUAUUAAUUGUUCUCCAUACCAUUUUGAUCAAAAGUAAAACUUGCUGGAUACACGGUUUUUCGACGAUUGAAACAGAUGUGCAUGAACAAAAGAACUGAAACGGAGAUAAUUUCCACUGACCCAGCAAGUCACUGGAAAAAGUACGACGAAAUUGUCAAGAUUGAUUAUUAUGCGUGGUAACGCAUGAUGCAGGAAUCUCAAUUCGAUGGCUAUCUAUUGCGGCUAACUGGCUAUUGUGUGGCUAUGGAACGUAUUCGUGGAACGCUUUGUUGUCGGCCGGCAUGCAAUGACGUAGGACCGACACUUAUAAUUGGCAAAAGGGUGCUUGUGGAACAACCAGUAGCUGAAGUAGACGUUCUGGCACGAGAGACGCCUUCCAACAACGACGCUCGUAUAUACCAAAUCAUAAGGAUGAUGAUCCAGCGUAUGAAGUGUGAAUGCCAACUGGCAGUAAAUAAUUAUGUUUUUGGGACUAUGGUACCGCAAUCAGGUUGUUGUUCAAAUAAUUUGAAAAAUGAACUUUUCGAGUUUGUUAUAUCGAUAUCGAUAUUGAUAUUACAUGUGAUCAAAUUAGGUUUACUUAUUGUAUGUCGUUCAGAAUUGAAUUGUUAUUUAUAUGCUAAGGCGUUUGUUAGAUACGAGUUUUUUUUUAAAUAUGAUCGAAGUAAAUUCGUAAGGGGGAAGGACUGUGGUGUAUAUCACCCUUAAAACGAUCAACUGCACUUGCAGAUUCAAAUGUAUAUUUAUUGUGUGACCUAUUGUUAAGUUCGAACAAACACUCUUUUCAUGACUAUUAAUAAAUAGCUUCGCGAGCAAAGGGCUCGCCCUCUUAUUAGCAUCUACUGCUAAACCAGA